UCUAAACUGAAAACUUUGUAAAUUUAUUAAGAAUUUUUCAAAUAAAUCUCUAUAUUUGCCGCAUCAAUCAUAAUAUAUUAAAACUACUAUAUAAUUAUUCUUCUAAAUUACCGUAUGGUAUUUCAUUUCUAGAGGACAUAACUGAAGCAGCUAGCAGUAAGAAACAUUUUUGAGUAUUUUUUUUCAAUGACU